ACGAGGGGCAGUCCUGGGGCUGCCCCAGCCCCGGCCACCCCGGGCAGGGCCUUGCCUCCCUCUGCCAGCCCUGCCCACGCAGCGGGGCUUGGUGGCCGCCUUGCUCAGUCCCACUGCCCUGAGCUUCUGGGGGCUCCUGGGCUCAGCCCUGCUGAGGGGGAGGAGGGUAGGUCUGGGGGCCCUGCUGCUGGGAGCAGGCUGGGGAGCAGGGGCUAAUGGAGCUCUGUGCCCAGGACUCAUCACACGGCGCCUGAGGGAGCAGACCACAGAGAGUCAGGCUGACAUCCUGAGCGCACUUCAGCCCUUGGAGAAUGACUGGGACAUCUCUGUCAGCUCCCUGGCAGCUCGGACAACCUCCAUUCUGAGGAGUCCUUGCGUGCAGCAAAGACCAAGAGGCCUCCUGCGAGCACUGCGCUGCUGCUGGCCGUGAGCCCGGCAGAGGUGCAGCUUGCCUUGGCUAAAGGACUGGGGCUGAAUAAAGCUGCAACAACGUGCCCAAA